AGUGAACGCUGGCGGUAGGCCUAACACAUGCAAGUCGAACGGCAGCACAGUAAGAGCUUGUUCUUACGGGUGGCGAGUGGCGGACGGGUGAGGAAUACAUCGGAAUCUACUUUUUCGUGGGGGAUAACGUAGGGAAACUUACGCUAAUACCGCAUACGACCUACGGGUGAAAGCAGGGGAUCUUCGGACCUUGCGCGAUUGAAUGAGCCGCUGUCGGAUUAGCUAGUUGGCGGGGUAAAGGCCCACCAAGGCGACGAUCCGUGGCUGGUCUGAGAGGAGGAUCAGCCACACUGGAAGUGGGACACGGUCCAGACUCCUACGGGAGGCAGCAGUGGGGAAUAUUGGACAAUGGGCGCAAGCCUGAUCCAGCCAUACCGCGUGGGUGAAGAAGGCCUUCGGGUUGUAAAGCCCUUUUGUUGGGAAAGAAAAGCAGCAGGUUAAUACCCCGCUGUUCUGACGGUACCCAAAGAAUAAGCACCGGCUAACUUCGUG
rnacentral:rRNA from 1 species